rnacentral:rRNA from 1 species
AACGCUAGCUACAGGCUUAACACAUGCAAGUCGAGGGUAGCAGGUAGCAAUACCGCUGACGACCGGCGCACGGGUGAGUAACACGUAUCCAACCUUCCCAUAACUCAGGGAUAGCCUUUCGAAAGAAAGAUUAAUACCUGAUAGUACUUUUUCAAGGCAUCUUGAGAAAGUUAAAGAUUUAUUGGUUAUGGAUGGGGAUGCGUUCCAUUAGAUAGUUGGUGAGGUAACGGCUCACCAAGUCUUCGAUGGAUAGGGGUUCUGAGAGGAAGGUCCCCACAUUGGUACUGAGACACGGACCAAACUCCUACGGGAGGCAGCAGUGAGGAAUAUUGGUCAAUGGGCGAGAGCCUGAACCAGCCAAGUAGCGUGAAGGAUGAAGGUCCUAUGGAUUGUAAACUUCUUUUAUAGUAGAAUAAAGUGAUCUACGUGUGGAUUUUUGUAUGUAUACUAUGAAUAAGGAUCGGCUAACUCCGUGCCAGCAGCCGC